AGGUUGCUGCAUAUGACAUAAAGAAGCAGAAAAUGGAUUUCUUUGAUCCUUCUAGGCCUAAAGAUUUUCUAUUCAUCUCUGGCACGAAGAUGCGAUUUCUUGCACAAAACAGAGAGGAUCCACCAGAUGGCUUCAUGUGUCCUGGUGGAUGGAAAGUAUUGGUGGAAUACUACGAAACACCGCUGGAAGCUCUAUCAAAUUGAACCGUCUAACACUUUCCUGGAACAAUUAAUUCUAUGAUAUUGUGAACAGUAUUUUCAAUCCGUGUGCAGCAAGCUCCAUGUGGUGUGAACAAUACGUUUGAUCUGUGUGAAACAAAUUCCAUAUACAUUGCUUGUUUUAGACCAAGUUGGUUUGGUUAGAUUUGUACGGAAACUAAAUUAUUUGUGAGAUAUAUGUGUUUAUAAUUGCUUGCGUCAAAAUGUUAAUUGUGAUGAGAAAGAAACAGAUGACAGGAGUAUCAUAAUGAAUAAAGUGGUGGAACUUAUUAUUUUUACAAGAGUAGAA